GGAAGGGAUACUCUUCGCUCAUAUCAUUCACAGCACAGAGACCAAAUGGAUGGCAAUGGUUCCAUAAACAAUGAACUGCACGGAAAGGGCAUUACAGAUAUUGCGUUCUCAAGGCUUGUAGAUUCAAGGAGGUCCCGGGAGAUAAAGUUUCGUCCAAUACCCCCAGCUGCAACCUCUUCAUUGGUUGGAGGCACUGAAUUCAAAAGUUUACCAGUCCAUGGUUAUUAAAACCAAAAGCGCAGCUCGGAAGCUCUCCUGCGUAGGUAUAAGCAAGAAAGGACAGCCCAUUUUGCAGUUUUCCUUUGACCAAAUAGCUACGAAAGUGGAGAAACAAAUGAACAAGUCCGGUGGGCUGGUUUAUAAUCGUGGGAUAAAAUUCAGGUUUGUGAACCACUUACGUGUGGCCAACCAGAGCAACGUUGGCAUCUUCAUUAUGUGCUGCAAUGGCCAUGUUUUCACUAACAACAAGAAGAUCAGAGCAAUCAUCUGAACAAUCAACUGCUAAAGCUACUUCCCUGUGAAGAAAUGGAAGUAUCUCCUUCCUGAAGUUGAUCAAAAUAAUCUGCAUAUUGAUUUUCAACGAAGAUAUCACAGACAGAACAGAAAACCAGAGAGCUUCAAUGAGAGGCUGGGACUGAGGGGCUUGAGCAAAAGGAAGGAGCUGGUCACGAAGAACAAGGUCUUUGUCCAAUCUGCUCUUUA